GACGAACGCUGGCGGCGUGCUUAACACAUGCGAGUCGAACGGAAAGGCCCUGCUUUUGUGGGGUGCUCGAGUGGCGAACGGGUGAGUAACACGUGAGUAACCUGCCCUUGACUUUGGGAUAACUUCAGGAAACUGGGGCUAAUACCGGAUAGGAGCUCCUGCUGCAUGGUGGGGGUUGGAAAGUUUCGGCGGUUGGGGAUGGACUCGCGGCUUAUCAGCUUGUGGUGGGGUAGUGGCUUACCAAGGCUUUGACGGGUAGCCGGCCUGAGAGGGUGACCGGCCACAUUGGGACUGAGAUACGGCCCAGACUCCUACGGGAGGCAGCAGUGGGGAAUAUUGCACAAUGGGCGGAAGCCUGAUGCAGCAACGCCGCGUGCGGGAUGACGGCCUUCGGGUUGUAAACCGCUUUCGCCUGUGACGAAGCGUGAGUGACGGUAAUGGGUAAAGAAGCACCGGCUAACUACGUG
rnacentral:rRNA from 1 species